AAAUAUUAACCAAAAAUACGCACGUUUAUCGUCACAUGACUUUGGGUGUUCAUCUUGAGUGAAUAAAGUAAUGGGAUAAGCGGUCGAAUAAC
rnacentral:sRNA from 1 species